AAGACUAUAGACCUGCGGAGUACCUGCGGAAGGAUCAUUAACGUAUCUAUGAUGGGGUGCGGAGCGCCCUGCUCCGGUCGAACGGCCGUGCAGCGGGUGCGCCGCCUCCGUCCCACCUCACAAACCCACUGUGAACAUUCACCGGUGGAGGGGGCUCGGUCUGCGCCGUGUCCCCGAUGCCGAAUACCCAAACUCCAGUUGCAAAGAACGUCGUGCGGACUCGGUGCCGCCUAAAACAUG
rnacentral:misc_RNA from 1 species